rnacentral:rRNA from 1 species
UACGUAGGGUGCAAGCGUUAAUCGGAAUUACUGGGCGUAAAGCGUGCGCAGGCGGCUUUGCAAGACAGAUGUGAAAUCCCCGGGCUUAACCUGGGAACUGCAUUUGUGACUGCAUGGCUAGAGUGCGGCAGAGGGGGAUGGAAUUCCGCGUGUAGCAGUGAAAUGCGUAGAUAUGCGGAGGAACACCGAUGGCGAGGCAAUCCCCUGGGCCUGCACUGACGCUCAUGCACGAAAGCGUGGGGAGCAAACAGG